GACGAACGCUGGCGGCGUGCUUAACACAUGCAAGUCGAACGGAAAGGCCCGGCUUUUGUGGGGUGCUCGAGUGGCGAACGGGUGAGUAACACGUGAGUAACCUGCCCUUGACUUUGGGAUAACUUCAGGAAACUGGGGCUAAUACCGGAUAGGAGCUCCUGCUGCAUGGUGGGGGUUGGAAAGUUUCGGCGGUUGGGGAUUGACUCGCGGCUUAUCAGCUUGUUGGUGGGGUAGUGGCUUACCAAGGCUUUGACGGGUAGCCGGCCUGAGAGGGUGACCGGCCACAUUGGGACGGAGAUACGGCCCAGACUCCUACGGGAGGCAGCAGUGGGGAAUAUUGCACAAUGGGCGGAAGCCUGAUGCAGCAACGCCGCGUGCGGGAUGACGGCCUUCGGGUUGUAAACCGCUUUCGCCUGUGACGAAGCGUGAGUGACGGUAAUGGGUAAAGAAGCACCGGCUAACUACGUG
rnacentral:rRNA from 1 species